UGCAGUCGAGCGGCAGCAUGACCUUCGGGUUGAUGGCGAGCGGCGAACGGGUGAGUAAUACAUCGGAACGUACCUUUUAGUGGGGGAUAACGCAUCGAAAGAUGUGCUAAUACAGCAUAAUCUCUGAGGAGGAAAGGCGGGGAUCACGUAAGUGACCUGUCGCAGAAAGAGCGGCCGAUGGUCGAUUAGCUAGUUGGCGGGGUAAAAGCCCACCAAGGCGAUGAUCGAUAGCGGGUCUGAGAGGACGAUCCGUCACACUGGGACUGAGACACGGCCCAGACUCCUACGGGAGGCAGCAGUGGGGAAUUUUGGACAAUGGGGGCAACCCUGAUCCAGCAACGCCGCGUGAAUGAAGAAGGCCUUAGGGUUGUAAAGUUCUUUUGUCAGGGAAGAAAGUUUCUGUGCUAAUACCAUAGAACGAUGACGGUACCUGAAGAAUAAGCACCGGCUAACUACGUGCCAGCAGCCGCGGUAAUACGUAGGGUGCAAGCGUUAAUCGGAAUUACUGGGCGUAAAGCGUACGCAGGCGGAUAUGUAAGUUAGAAGUGAGAUCCCCGGGCUCAACCUGGGAACUGCUUUUAAGACUGCGUAUCUAGAGUUUGUCAGAGGGGGGUGGAAUUCCAAGUGUAGCAGUGAAAUGCGUAGAGAUUUGGAGGAACACCGAUGGCGAAGGCAGCCCCCUGGGAUAAAACUGACGCUCAUGCA
rnacentral:rRNA from 1 species